CCGGUUCAAGAAGAUGAGAUGGUCUCAUUCAUACUCGCGGGACUUGACUACGACUACAACUCUCUAGUAUCAUCAGUUAUGGGUCGAAUAGAUCCAAUCACCUUGAGUGAUCUGUAUGCACAGAUGCUUGCAUA